rnacentral:rRNA from 1 species
AUUGAACGCUGGCGGCAGGCUUAACACAUGCAAGUCGAGCGGCGGAAGGUAGCUUGCUACCGGACCUAGCGGCGGACGGGUGAGUAAUGCUUAGGAAUCUGCCUAUUAGUGGGGGACAACAUCUCGAAAGGGAUGCUAAUACCGCAUACGUCCUACGGGAGAAAGCAGGGGAUCUUCGGACCUUGCGCUAAUAGAUGAGCCUAAGUCGGAUUAGCUAGUUGGUGGGGUAAAGGCCUACCAAGGCGACGAUCUGUAGCGGGUCUGAGAGGAUGAUCCGCCACACUGGGACUGAGACACGGCCCAGACUCCUACGGGAGGCAGCAGUGGGGAAUAUUGGACAAUGGGGGGAACCCUGAUCCAGCCAUGCCGCGUGUGUGAAGAAGGCCUUAUGGUUGUAAAGCACUUUAAGCGAGGAGGAGGCUACUCUAGUUAAUACCUAGGGAUAGUGGACGUUACUCGCAGAAUAAGCACCGGCUAACUCUGUGCCAGCAGCAGCCGCAGUAA